rnacentral:rRNA from 1 species
UACGAGUGCCUCAAGCGUUAUCCGGAAUUAUUGGGCGUAAAGGGUGUGUAGGUGGUUGUGUUAGUCUCCUGUUAAAUUCUUCGGCUUAACCGGGGGCAUGCAGGGGAAACGGCACAACUAGAGGAUGCGAGGGGUCUGCGGAACUCAUAGUGUAGCGGUGAAAUGCGUUGAUAUUAUGGGGAACACCAAAAGCGAAGGCAGCAGACUGGAGCACUCCUGACACUGAAACACGAAAGCGUGGGUAGCGAAUGGG